AUCGGGUCUCAUUUGGAAACACAGGAAGCUCGGCGAGCUUCUUGCUUUGACAUGUGACGUCAUCUUCAUUGAUACAGUAACCCGCGAUAAUGACUUCUACGACUUUGAUGGUAUUAAUAGGAAGUUUAUACAUGAAGUAUCGUGAAAGUGACGCGUAUGUCCUUGUUGGCGUUCAGUCUUCGAGAUGAGAGACCAGCUAAAGAACACACCUCCCAUUGAUGACGUCCUAUCCCUUCCAGGACCCAUCUACCGAAGACCUCAUUUCCUGUUCUGGCCUCCCUGAUCCAUCCCCUUCCGGUUUUAGCCAUAUUUAAGAUGCCAGACACACUCUGUUAGCUCUUUGCCUGCUCGCAAGGUCUCGCCACGGGGAUGGCUUCAGCAGCUUGCCACAGCUCUCGCAAUUCUGGUCCUGGUUUCUCAGUCUCUAUCUCCUCCACAGCCAAAAUGAGUACAGAUGAGGAUCCCAGCCAGUCAUCUCAAAUAUUUCAAAGUUUCUGGAAACAAGAACAAUAUGCCAGUUAAGAAUAAAUGAAAUGCUAGAAAAGCAGAAGAGCAUUGUUUUCAAAAUGCUGAAAGAAUGAAGGAGCUUCACUAGUCACGAUACGGCAGGCACACACCUAAUGAAGAAGAGAUGAAGAUGAGGACAGUGAUCUCGCUAAGGUGCAAGACUGGCUUUCCUUGGAUCCAUCAGCUGAGGCGAUAAGAGAAGAGAAGGCAAAGAAAGAUGAAACAGCUGACAGAAGUGUAGCUGCACUGCAGCACGAGUGAUCUCGCAGGCAGAUAAGGAUUUAAGAGCCUCAUAUUCAAGUCACUCGGACAAUGUCUUGCUUCACUCAUGGCGGUUGUGAGUUUGUGCACAAAGUGACCACUUUAUUUGUUAAGCCUGCCUAAUAGCAGGUUAUUCACCAGUUUUCUUGAUGUGGUUAUGGACUCAACAAGGUGUC